GAGUUUGAUCCUGGCUCAGGACGAACGCUGGCGGCACGCUUAACACAUGCAAGUCGAACGAGAGAAGAGAAGCUUGCUUUUCUGAUCUAGUGGCGGACGGGUGAGUAACACGUGAGCAAUCUGCCUUUCAGAGGGGGAUACCGAUUGGAAACGAUCGUUAAUACCGCAUAAUAUAAUUGAACCGCAUGAUUUGAUUAUCAAAGAUUUAUCGCUGAAAGAUGAGCUCGCGUCUGAUUAGCUAGUUGGUGAGGUAAUGGCCCACCAAGGCAACGAUCGGUAGCCGGACUGAGAGGUUGAACGGCCACAUUGGGACUGAGACACGGCCCAGACUCCUACGGGAGGCAGCAGUGGGGAAUAUUGCACAAUGGGGGAAACCCUGAUGCAGCGACGCCGCGUGGAGGAAGAAGGUCUUCGGAUUGUAAACUCCUGUUGUUGAGGAAGAUAAUGACGGUACUCAACAAGGAAGUGACGGCUAACUACGUGCCAGCAGCCGCGGUAAAACGUAGGUCACAAGCGUUGUCCGGAAUUACUGGGUGUAAAGGGAGCGCAGGCGGGAAGACAAGUUGGAAGUGAAAUCUAUGGGCUCAACCCAUAAACUGCUUUCAAAACUGUUUUUCUUGAGUAGUGCAGAGGUAGGCGGAAUUCCCGGUGUAGCGGUGGAAUGCGUAGAUAUCGGGAGGAACACCAGUGGCGAAGGCGGCCUACUGGGCACCAACUGACGCUGAGGCUCGAAAGUGUGGGUAGCAAACAGGAUUAGAUACCCUGGUAGUCCACACUGUAAACGAUGAUUACUAGGUGUUGGAGGAUUGACCCCUUCAGUGCCGCAGUUAACACAAUAAGUAAUCCACCUGGGGAGUACGACCGCAAGGUUGAAACUCAAAGGAAUUGACGGGGGCCCGCACAAGCAGUGGAGUAUGUGGUUUAAUUCGACGCAACGCGAAGAACCUUACCAAGUCUUGACAUCCUGCGACGGACAUAGAAAUAUGUUUUUCCUUCGGGACGCAGAGACAGGUGGUGCAUGGUUGUCGUCAGCUCGUGUCGUGAGAUGUUGGGUUAAGUCCCGCAACGAGCGCAACCCUUAUGGUCAGUUACUACGCAAGAGGACUCUGGCCAGACUGCCGUUGACAAAACGGAGGAAGGUGGGGAUGACGUCAAAUCAUCAUGCCCUUUAUGACUUGGGCUACACACGUACUACAAUGGCGUUAAACAAAGAGAAGCAAGACCGCGAGGUGGAGCAAAACUCAGAAACAACGUCCCAGUUCGGACUGCAGGCUGCAACUCGCCUGCACGAAGUCGGAAUUGCUAGUAAUCGCAGAUCAGCAUGCUGCGGUGAAUACGUUCCCGGGCCUUGCACACACCGCCCGUCA
rnacentral:rRNA from 1 species